AUUGAACGCUGGCGGCAUGCCUUACACAUGCAAGUCGAACGGUAACAGCUCUUCGGAGGCUGACGAGUGGCGAACGGGUGAGUAAUACAUCGGAACGUGCCCGAUCGUGGGGGAUAACGGAGCGAAAGCUUUGCUAAUACCGCAUACGAUCUACGGAUGAAAGCAGGGGACCCUCGGGCCUUGCGCGAACGGAGCGGCCGAUGGCAGAUUAGGUAGUUGGUGGGAUAAAAGCUUACCAAGCCGACGAUCUGUAGCUGGUCUGAGAGGACGACCAGCGAAACUGGGACUGAGACACGGCCCAGACUCCUACGGGAGGCAGCAGUGGGGAAUUUUGGACGAUGGGCGAAAGCCUGAUCCAGCAAUGCCGCGUGCAGGAUGAAGGCCUUCGGGUUGUAAACUGCUUUUGUACGGAACGAAAAGUCUCGGGCUAAUACCCUGGGACCAUGACGGUACCGUAAGAAUAAGCACCGGCUAACUACGUGCCAGCCGCCGCGGUAA
rnacentral:rRNA from 1 species